UACAAGAGACCUCCCUCGACAGUUCUAGGUCAUCGGAGGAGGUGCCCUCACCCCCUUGCCUGAUGCGUUGAAAAAGGAAAAAAGAAAAACUGGGACUUGCUCAAGCUCGCACAUAUAUGUCGAGAGAGAUAAAAGAUCUUCUUCGAUGGUAUUUGGUAAAUCGCCUCCUCAAUCGCCGCUUCAAAGCUUCGGUGAUGCCUUGCCCAUCCCUCAACUGAUAAUCCUUUAUUCAUUAAUCAGACCAUCUUGUUCUUUAAUCAGUCCAUAACAAAGAUGGAACAAAAAAAUAAUCCAAUCGAUCUCAGCAGUCCACAAACAGAGCAUUGCCUUCAUCUUGUUCGCCGAGUGCUCAGCCUGCCUUCACUAUGGAAUACACCCUGCGGAAAGGUGGAAAAAAAAAACAUUUGCAGCUUCCAAAUCAGGGGUAUUAUGGAUAACCUCCCGUGAUUUUCACGAUUUGUUUCCUUGUACUUGGUAUUGUAUUAUGGGAUAGAUAGGUGGCAAAUCAAUUACUUAUAACAUUUAGCCCUUUUUCCUGAUUUUUCUUCUAGCUUAUGGCUAUAUGUACAGAGACAUAAUAGCAAUGAAGUUCAACAAAAUCAUUCAUAAA